ensembl:lncRNA
AUUUCUCUGUGGGUGCCACCAUCUUUCCAUUUGGCUGCAGUUGAAAACGUAUGAUCCGGUUGGAACGUUAUUGGAUAUAUAUGAAAAUAACAUCCUGAAGAUUGAUUCUCUACUUAGUUUGACCAGUUUAUUCGACCUGGAAUAUAUAUUUUUGACGUUUUCGUGCGAGUUGUCCUGGACCAGCAGUCAGUUUUUGGGCACGUGAGCUGAAAGUGGUAGCAAAUGCAGCUAUUUGGACACUAGGAUUGGACAUUAUGGAACAAAACAACGAUUUAUUGUGGAACUAGGACUCCUUGCACUGCAUUCUGAUGAAAGAUCAUCAAAGGUGUUACUGUACACAAUCCGAUUCCACCAACAUGUGUUUCCAACCCCUAGCUCUGCACUAGGUGAAGCCCUGCUGAAAAAUACCCCAAGGGAAUGAGAUUUUUGGUAGACGCGCAUGAGGGAGGGACCACACCUUGUGGUAAUGGAGCACAACAAGAUUGUGG